rnacentral:rRNA from 1 species
GCCGAAAGCGGGCUAAUACUGGAUAGAGCGAUGGAACUCGUAAUGGUUUUCGGAAAGGGAGCUCGCAAGAGCCUUCGUUUUGGGAUGAGCCUGCGUCUGAUUAGCUAGUUGGCGGGGGUAAUGGCCCACCAAGGCGAUGAUCAGUAGCUGGUCUGAGAGGAUGAUCAGCCACACUGGAACUGAAACACGGUCCAGACUCCUACGGGAGGCAGCAGUGGGGAAUCUUGCGCAAUGGACGAAAGUCUGACGCAGCCACGCCGCGUGAGUGAAGAAGGCCUUCGGGUUGUAAAAGCUCUGUCGGCCGGGACGAAAAUACUUAAGGUGAAUAGCCUUAGGGACUGACGGUACCGGCAAAGGAAGCACCGGCUAACUCUGUG